rnacentral:lncRNA from 1 species
AGCAUGUUUGCAGGGGAGUUUUUCUACAUCGGCAUGGCCAGCAACGUCCACCUCUCUGCACAUUCGUCCCCCUGUGACGGUUCAUAAAGUGCAGCAGUAUCGAACAGAAAGCUCACAUUCACUGGAUGCCCUCCUGGAAAGCAUGUCGGAAUGUUGAGGAACAUAACCACUUGCACGAAGGGCACGUUCACUCGAGAGCAGCUUCAGGACAACUUCUCUUACGUCAUCCUCAAGUAGGUUGUGCGGUGAGGUUGUUACAGAACACUGAUGGAAUAUGUGUUCUUAGUGGAGGAGGUUCUGUUCCGGCCUAGCUCUGCCUCCAGUGACCUGCAUAUCUCCUACUACAGCAUUACAGACUACUUCUGCCCCCUGCUGGUCUACCACGAUACCCCCUGGAUACCCUCCAUGGAGCUCUACUAUACGCUGACCACUACAUUCAGUGUGCACGGGGCAUUCCUUCCUCGCCCUCUGCCAUCUGGUGUGGCACUGGGCAUCCUCCCGUUCUCAUCGGCUUUCUCCUCAGCCAGCGCGCUCACCAUAAUAGGAUGGACACACACUUUACACACAAAGCGCAACACAUUCAGAUGUUUUUUUGUCAAACACACGCACUCCCAAUACAUCCCAAAACAGGAGAAAACACGCAUGUCCUCUGAGCAGCGUGAAAUAAAUGUGAUGAGCUGUUCAGCAUGA